AAUUUUUAAAUUAUUAAUAUAUAUUUUUUAUUAUUUUUAAAUAAAGUAUUUUUUUGUUUUAUUAAUUAUUAUUGAAGAAAUUUUUUUUAUUAUAGUUUAUUAGUACUGUGAAGGAAAUUUUUUAAUUAUUAAAAAGAAUAAUUUAAUUUUUGUACCUUUUGUAUCAGGGUUUAUUAAAAUAAUAUUAUAGAUAUAAUUUUCUCGAUUUUAAAGGAGCUAAUAAUUUAUAAAUUUUAUUGUUGAAUUAAUAUUUAAAAUUUAUUAUUUGAAAUGAAACGUUAUUCGUCUUUAAAUAUUUCUAGUUUCUAAAGAAAUGAAUUUAAUUCAGUUUCUUAAAGUAAAUAAUUAAUUUAAAUUAUUUUGUUUUAAGAAUAAAAAAUUUAAAGGGAUAAGCUUUUAAAUUUUUCUAUAAUAUUUUAUUAUUUGUUUUAGGUUGUAGGAUUGGAAUUUUUUAUCAAUAAAAGGAUGUUUUAAUUAACUUAAGUUAUUUUAAUAUUUAUAUUUUAUUUAGAUUAUUUAUUUAGAAUUUAUUUUUAAUUUUUUAAAAUAAGAAAUAAUGAUAAAAUUAGUAAUUUUAUUUGUUUAAUUAUAUUAAAAAUUUUAGAUUUUAUUAAGGAAUUCGACAAUUAAUUUUUUCGCCUGUUUAAUAAAAACAUGUCUUUUUGAUAAUGAUUUAAAGUCUAGUCUGCCCACUGUGAAUAUGAAGGGCCGCGGUAUUUUAACUGUGCAAAGGUAGCAUAAUAAUUAGUUUUUUUAUUGAAAACUGGAAUGAAUGGCUGGACGAGAGAAAUAGUGUCUCAAUAAAAAUUAAUGAAUUUUAUUUUUAAGUGAAAAAGCUUAAAUAAUUUUAAAAGACGAGAAGACCCUAUAGAGUUUAACAUAAAAUUUAUUAUAAUUAAUUGGAAUUUUUUUUUAUAAUAAUAAUUUUUGUUUAGCUGGGGUGGCUUUAAAAUUGAUUUAACUUUUAUUUUAUAAAACACUUAUUUGUGAUUAUUUGAUCCAUAUUUUUGAUUAAAAGAUUUAAUUACCUUAGGGAUAACAGCGUAAUCUUUCUUUAGAGCUCUAAUCAAUAGAAAGGAUUGCGACCUCGAUGUUGGAUUAAAAUUUUUAAAAAUUUUAGAUUUUAUUAAGGAAUUCGACAAUUAAUUUUUUCGCCUGUUUAAUAAAAACAUGUCUUUUUGAUAAUGAUUUAAAGUCUAGUCUGCCCACUGUGAAUAUGAAGGGCCGCGGUAUUUUAACUGUGCAAAGGUAGCAUAAUAAUUAGUUUUUUUAUUGAAAACUGGAAUGAAUGGCUGGACGAGAGAAAUAGUGUCUCAAUAAAAAUUAAUGAAUUUUAUUUUUAAGUGAAAAAGCUUAAAUAAUUUUAAAAGACGAGAAGACCCUAUAGAGUUUAACAUAAAAUUUAUUAUAAUUAAUUGGAAUUUUUUUUUAUAAUAAUAAUUUUUGUUUAGCUGGGGUGGCUUUAAAAUUGAUUUAACUUUUAUUUUAUAAAACACUUAUUUGUGAUUAUUUGAUCCAUAUUUUUGAUUAAAAGAUUUAAUUACCUUAGGGAUAACAGCGUAAUCUUUCUUUAGAGCUCUAAUCAAUAGAAAGGAUUGCGACCUCGAUGUUGGAUUAAAAUUUAUUUUUGGUGCAGAAGCUAAAAUAUUAAGUCUGUUCGACUUUUGAAAUUUUACAUGAUCUGAGUUUAAACCGGUGUGAGCCAGGUUGGUUUCUAUCUUUAAAUAAAUUAAGUAUUUUAGUACGAAAGGACCAAAUAUUUAACUAAUAGUUUAAUUUUGAUUACUAUU
rnacentral:rRNA from 1 species